rnacentral:rRNA from 1 species
GACGAACGCUGGCGGCGUGCUUAACACAUGCAAGUCGAACGGAAAGGCCCUGCUUUUGUGGGGUGCUCGAGUGGCGAACGGGUGAGUAACACGUGAGUAACCUGCCCUUGACUUUGGGAUAACUUCAGGAAACUGGGGCUAAUACCGGAUAGGAGCUCCUGCUGCAUGGUGGGGGUUGGAAAGUUUCGGCGGUUGGGGAUGGACUCGCGGCUUAUCAGCUUGUUGGUGGGGUAGUGGCUUACCAAGGCUUUGACGGGUAGCCGGCCUGAGAGGGUGACCGGCGACAAGGGGAAUAAGAGACGGACCAGAGGGCUACGGGAGGCAGCAGUGGGGAAUAUUGCACAAGGGGCGGAAGACUGAUGCAGCAACGCCGCGAGCGGGAUGAAGGCCGUCGGGGGGUAAACCGCUGUCGCCGGAGACGAAGCGUGAGUGACGGUAAUGGGUAAAGAAGCACCGGCUAACUACGUG